UGCACAGUUUAGUGUGUUACUGCUUCAACACCUGAUGAAGCUCAUGAAGGGCUUCAUAAUGAGACGAGUGAGUUUGAUCAGGUGGAACACAGCUGUAAAACACCUCACUAUACUGACCUCACAUUAGUAGAACUGGCUCUGUUGCUGAAUUCAAGUGGAUGAUCCAUUGACGCGUCACUCUUCAUGGACACACAGCUGGGUUCUGAUCGAACAAGUUGUGUAAAAGUAACACCUCGAGAAACCACAAACAUGUUUUCUGAUACCACAACGGAGGUCUUCUUAUCAUUAAAGUCUUGUGCAUCAAGCACUCCAAGUGUGUCCAGCACAGAUAGUUCCAGUACAACUGUGGAUUUAUCUGUAUGGCCCGAAAACGUUGAAGUUCCCUGGAAUAGGAUGUCUUCUGGUAUUAAAACAGCCAUUUCACUGGGAAAACGCCCUACAGCAAAGGCUCGCAGAGAAAUGUAGAGUUAAAUCCAUUGAAAUCACAGUGCCUGAUUGUUGCUAAGAAGAUAGUUAGACAAUAUCCAGAAUGCUUUGCUGAUGUCCUCAGAGAUGGCACAAAGAUUGGCACUGGCUAUGGAUCUCUGAUGAAUCAAAUUAAAACAAGAGUAGAGCAUGCUAAUCGUGGCUGCUCACUGUCAAGAUGCAGAAAACAGAAAAUGACCUCAAAUUCACCAUUGGAACACAUUGCUCCAGGACCUGCUGACCAGUACGGUUGUGUGAGAUGGCAGCCUGAGUGUCCUUGUAGAAGAAACUGAGGAGAGUCUCAAAGAUAAACAAAAAGAAAUGAAAGACUUCUCUAGUACCAGUGAGGGACCAGCUGGAGCAGAGAGAAGACAUCUCAGCCAGUUAAUGGAAGUGACAUACUAUCUCCAACGGAAAUCAAUCAAUGCCUGUCCAUCACCAUCCUUUGCUGAGUUGAAAAAUGACUGGCCAUACCUUUUUACACCAAAAGAACUUUAUAGCCACUCUAAAUCACUCACAAACAUUAGCAUUCUGGAAAAACUUGAGAAGUCCUUGGAAGAGAAGGGAAAGAUGAUCAUUCAGUUCUUCCAACAAAAGCCAGCAGGGUGUAAUGCAAAUGAUAUCCAGCGCAUACUUAUGAAGUUUGAUGAUAGUGGAGCAUCUUGUUUCAUCCCAUGCAUGAUCCUUCUACUACUAUCUCAUUUCAAAGUGAAACCUUAAGCACUCGUUCUUCAGGCUGAUGUAUCGGCAACAGUAGCUGAUGUUGAAAAAAGUUUCACUCUUCCAGACUCUCCAAGACUGAUCGUCCUAGGUGAAAUCCUCACUGCAACUCAACCUUGUGGCUGGAUUUGCAGCUUUGUUUGCAUCUUACUACAACUUCUUGGGUUUUGGAGAAUUUACAGGAUUUUAUUGGCAACUCUAGUUGCCAACUAAAUACUGUAAUUUGGAAUAAAAAAAAAAUACUAUAACUCAUACAAGUUUAAUUCUUUAUUACUGUAAAAUAAACAAUAAAGUACUGUAUUUUACAAACAA